rnacentral:rRNA from 1 species
CCUACGGGUGGCAGCAGUGAGGAAUAUUGGUCAAUGGACGAGAGUCUGACCCAGCCAAGUAGCGUGAAGGAUGACUGCCCUCUGGGUUGUAAACUUCUUUUAUAAAGGAAUAAAACGAGGCACGUGUGCCUUUUUGCAUGUACUUUAUGAAUAAGGAUCGGCUAACUCCGUGCCAUCAGCCGCGGUAAUACGGGGGAUCCGAGCGUUAGCCGGAUUUCUUGGGGUUAAAGGGAGCGUAGAUGGGUUGUUAAGUCAGUUGUGAAAGUUUGCGGCGCAACCGUAAAAUUGCAAUGGAUACUGGCAGUCUUGAGUACAGUUGAGGUAGGCGGAAUUCGUGGUGUAGCAGUGAAAUGCUUAGAUAUCACGAAGAACCCCGAUUGCGAAGGCAGCUUACUAAACUGUGACUGACAUUGAUGCUCGAAAGUGUGGGUAUCAAACAGGAUUAGAUACCCUUGUAGUA